GUUUGCCUACACAUGCAAGUUGCACGGCGCCAUGCCUCUCGAGGAAUGGCGGAGUGGCGGACGGGUGAGGAACGCGUAAGGACCUGCCCCUGGGAGGGGGAUAACAGCUGGAAACGGCUGCUAAUACCCCAUAUCCUGAGGAGGGAAAGGAGAGAUCCGCCCAGGGAGGGGCUUGCGUCUGAUUAGCUAGUUGGGGGGUAAUGGCCUCCCAAGGCAACGAUCAGUUGCUGGUCUGAGAGGAUGAUCAGCCACACUGGGACUGAGACACGGCCCAGACUCCUACGGGAGGCAGCAGUGAGGAAUCUUCCGCAAUGGGCGAAAGCCUGACGGGGCAAUGCCGCGUGGAGGAUGAAGGCCCAAUGGGUCGUAAACUUCUUUAGAUCAGAGACGAAGAGAUGACGGUACCUGAAGAACUAAGCAUCGGCCAAACCCCGUGCCAGCAGCCGCGGUAAGACGGGGGAUGCGAGCGUUAUCCGGAAUGAUUGGGCGUAAAGGGUCCGCAGGUGGCCCGGUCAGUCCGCUGUCAAAACCUGGGGCUCAACCCUGGACAGGCGGCGGAGACCACCGGGCUUGAGUCCGGUAGGGGCAGAGGGAAUUCCCGGUGGAGCGGUGAAAUGCGUAGAGAUCGGGAAGAACGCCAAGGGCGAAGGCACUCUGCUAGGCCUGAUUUCGCGACUGACACUCAGGGACGAGAGCCAGGGGAGCGAAUGGGAUUAGAUACCCCAGUAGUCCUGGCCGUAAACG
rnacentral:rRNA from 1 species